AAGUCGUAACAAGGUUUCCGUAGGUGAACCUGCGGAAGGAUCAUUACCGAGUUCGGGGCUUCCCCAACUCCCACCCUUGUCUACUCAAACGUUGCUUCGGCGAGACGUUGGAAAGCAACCAUUGGCGAUUCCCUCAAGAUGAACCGAUGCGUGCUCGCCGGACUCCAAUACUCUGAGAUUAUGUACGGUCAGAUGAAACAAGCAAUUGAAUAAAAACUUUCAACAACGGAUCUCUUGGUUUUG
rnacentral:misc_RNA from 1 species